CUAUUUCACUGGUCCCUACGUCUCUCCUUACAUUAGUAAGUUUUGAUUACUAUAGCUUAGAAGUAAAUACUGAAAUUGCAAAGUGAAUCUUUCAGCUUUGUUUUUCCUUUUCAAUAUUGUUUUGGCUAUUUGGGGCUUGUGAAAUUCCAUAUGAUUUUGAGGAUCAGCUUUUCCAAUUUGCAAAGGAAGACUGUGAAUUUUAACAGGAAUUGCACUGAAUCUGUACAUUACUUUGGGAAAUGUUGCUAUCUUACCAAAAAUUCCCCAAAAUUCAUAUGUUGAAGCCUUUAACUCAUUGUGUGACUGUAUUUGGAGAUGGUGCCUGUAAGGAAUCCCUUAAAGUUAAAUGAAGGCAUAAGGGUGGGGCCCUAAUCCAAUUGGAAUAAUGUUCUUAUAAAAAGAGGAAGAGACACCAAGAAAGCACACAUCCAGAGAAAAGGCCUUAUGAGGAUACUGCAAGAAGAUGACCAUCUGCACAUCAAGGAGAAAGACCUUAGGAAAAAUCUGCCAACACUCUGACCUUGGAUAUUCAGCCUCUAGAACUGAAAGAAAUGAAUUUGUUUCUUAAGCCAACCAGUCUGUAGUAUUUUUCUAUGGUAGCCCUUGUAAAGUUGCUCCCACUGGUGAUGGUAAGAAAAGAGGCUACAAGGCAAAUGGAUCCGAGAUGAACUUUAUUGCAAGCACCCUUGGGCGAGGUUCUGUGACUCACAGAAAGAGGGGGGAGGGGGAUAGUGAGUCGGGGGAGUCGCGCUGGGAGGGAGUUGGCGAGGUUCUUUUAUCGGACUGAGGUAGGGCAUAGCCUUGCGCCCACUGGGUAUGUGGUGAUCGGAGGGUAUGGGGCGGGGGUGGUCCGUGAUGGCCAGUUCCCAAUUUGGAAGCUCCUGGGUGGAGAGUUUCAGUCUCCCGACGGUGACGUGGAGGCCACAGUGAGGGUGGCGGGAUACUGAAACCCUCCACCCAGGUGCU